rnacentral:rRNA from 1 species
UACAGAGGUCUCAAGCGUUGUUCGGAUUCAUUGGGCGUAAAGGGUGCGUAGGCGGCGCGGUAAGUCGGAUGUGAAAUCUCGGAGCUUAACUUCGAAACUGCAUUCGAUACUGCCGUGCUUGAGGACUGGAGAGGAGACUGGAAUUUACGGUGUAGCGGUGAAAUGCGUAGAUAUCAAGCGGAACACCAGUGGCGAAGGCGAGUCCCUGGACAACUCCUGACACUGAGGCACGAAAGCUAGGGGAGCAAACAGG